rnacentral:rRNA from 1 species
CCUACGGGGGGCUGCAGUGGGGAAUAUUGGACAAUGGGCGAAAGCCUGAUCCAGCCAUGCCGCGUGUGUGAAGAAGGCCUUCGGGUUGUAAAGCACUUUCAGUGGGGAAGAAAGCCUUGGGGCUAAUACCCUCGAGGAAGGACAUCACCCACAGAAGAAGCACCGGCUAACUCCGUGCCAGCAGCCGCGGUAAUACGGAGGGUGCGAGCGUUAAUCGGAAUUACUGGGCGUAAAGCGCGCGUAGGCGGUCUGAUAAGCCGGUUGUGAAAGCCCCGGGCUCAACCUGGGAACGGCAUCCGGAACUGUCAGGCUAGAGUGCAGGAGAGGAAGGUAGAAUUCCCGGUGUAGCGGUGAAAUGCGUAGAGAUCGGGAGGAAUACCAGUGGCGAAGGUGGCCUUCUGGACUGACACUGACGCUGAGGUGCGAAAGCGUGGGUAGCAAACAGGAUUAGAUACCCUGGUAGUC